rnacentral:rRNA from 1 species
CACGUAGGGGGCGAGCGUUGUCCGGAUUUAUUGGGCGUAAAGAGCUCGUAGGCGGCUCGGUAAGUCGGCUGUGAAAACUCUAGGCUCAACCUAGAGACGCCACCCGAUACUGCUGUGGCUAGAGUCCGGUAGGGGAGCAUGGAAUUCCUGGUGUAGCGGUGAAAUGCGCAGAUAUCAGGAGGAACACCAGUGGCGAAGGCGGUGCUCUGGGCCGGUACUGACGCUGAGGAGCGAAAGCGUGGGGAGCAAACAGG